AGAGCGAACGCUGGCGGCAGGCCUAACACAUGCAAGUCGAGCGGGCGUAGCAAUACGUCAGCGGCAGACGGGUGAGUAACGCGUGGGAACGUACCUUUUGGUUCGGAACAACACAGGGAAACUUGUGCUAAUACCGGAUAAGCCCUUACGGGGAAAGAUUUAUCGCCGAAAGAUCGGCCCGCGUCUGAUUAGCUAGUUGGUGAGGUAAUGGCUCACCAAGGCGACGAUCAGUAGCUGGUCUGAGAGGAUGAUCAGCCACAUUGGGACUGAGACACGGCCCAAACUCCUACGGGAGGCAGCAGUGGGGAAUAUUGGACAAUGGGCGCAAGCCUGAUCCAGCCAUGCCGCGUGAGUGAUGAAGGCCCUAGGGUUGUAAAGCUUCUUUUGUGCGGGAAGAUAAUGGACGGUACCGCAAGAAUAAGCCCCGGCUAACUUCGCGCCAGCAGCCGC
rnacentral:rRNA from 1 species